rnacentral:rRNA from 1 species
UACAGAGGUCUCAAGCGUUGUUCGGAUUCAUUGGGCGUAAAGGGUGCGUAGGUGGCGGGGCAAGUCUGGUGUGAAAUCCCGGGGCUCAACCCCGGAACUGCACUGGAUACUGCCUUGCUAGAGCACUGGAGAGGGAACUGGAAUUUACGGUGUAGCAGUGAAAUGCGUAGAUAUCGUAAGGAAGACCAGUGGCGAAGGCGAGUCUCUGGACAGUUACUGACACUGAGGCACGAAGGCCAGGGGAGCAAACGGG